rnacentral:rRNA from 1 species
AGAAUGUUGGCACAAGUAACCGCAAGGAAGGUGAGAUCCCUUCCCGCCGAAAGAUUAAGGUUUCCUGGGCAAUGGUGAUCAUCCCAGGGUUAGUCGGUCCUAAGGAGAUGGCGAUAGCCGAAUCCGAUGGACAUAGGGUUAAUAUUCCCUAACUUUUAUUUAAUUCGAUGAUAGGACGGAGUGUAGUAUAUGAAGCUCAUUAUUGGAUUUGAGUAUUUUAGUGAGAAUGGUUUCUAGGAAAAUCCGGAAACUGACGUAAAAGUAACAUUCAAGCGAAGAUUAAAUGUGUGGGUUCGCUCAUGCAGAUUUCAUAAAGCACGCUUCCAAGAAAAGUAUCUAAGGUUAAUUAAAUAAAAUCCGUACCGUAAACCGACACAGGUAAUCAGGUCGAGUAGACCAAGGCGAACGAGUGAGAGGUCUUCAAGGAACUCGGCAAAAUAGCAGCCGUAACUUUGGAAUAAGGCUUGCCUUUUAACUUCGGUUAAGGGGCCGCAGCUAAAGAAUCCCUGGCAACUGUUUAUCAAAAACACAGCUCCCUGCGAACNNGGAUGUAUAGGGGGUGACACCUGACCAAUGCGAGAAGGUCAAAUAUCGAUGGUGUGUGCAUCACAUUGUAUGUGAUGUAAUUCUAAAAUUGCCAAAAUUAAUUAGUAAUUAUUAUCAUGUAUAGCGUGAUGUAUAUGCUGGUUGAUAUAAGCCCUCGUGAAUGUCGGCCGUAACUAUAACGGUCCUAAGGUAGCGAAGUACCUUGUCGGGUAAAUUCCGACGCGCACGAAUGGUGUAAUGACUGGGGAACUGUCUCGAAGACUUGCUCGGUGAAAAUACAAUACCGGUGAAGAUGCCGGUUACCUGCAGAUAGACGAAAAGACCCUAGAAGCUUUACUGCAGCUUGAUAUUGAGUAUACGAUUACUUUACGUAGCAUAGAUGGGAGAGGUUUGAUGGAAACGAUUUCGGUUGUUUUCUACUCGUCAGUGAAAUACCAUUUUUUGUGAUUGUAUAUUCUAAUUUCUAAGGCAAAAACUUAGAGAGACAGUAUCUGGUGGGUAGUUUUACUGGGGCGGUAUCCUCCUAAAGAGUAACGGAGGAGUUUAAAGGUCAGCUAGGCGCGAAUGGAAACCGUGCCGAUAGUGUAAUGGCACAAGCUGGCUUAACUGUAAGACGUACUUGUCGAGCAGAUACGAAAGUAGAACAUAGUGAACCGACAAUUCGCAUUAGAUGCGGUUGAAGAUUAACGGAUAAAAGCUACUCUAGGGAUAACAGGCUAGUUCCGCCUAAGAGUUCAUAUCGACGGCGGAGUUCGGCACCUCGAUGUCGGCUCACCUUAUCCUCCUGGUGGAGAAGCUGGGAAGGGUUUAGCUGUUCGCUAAUUAAAAAGGUACGCGAGCUGGGUUCAAACCGUUGAGAAUUUUAGUUUCUA